rnacentral:ncRNA from 2 species
UCGUGAGGUAGAGGUGCGGUAUUUAAUAGUUUUUCAGGGAGCUGCGAGAAAGCGUUGAAAUGAAAAAGAAGGAAAUAUCGCCGAAGUGUACAUAAGGCUCGCUUAUGUAUGCUGGGGCUGCAGUGAAGAACUGUAGAACUGUCUUGCAUGCUCUUUCCCGAACAUGUAAGUUGUGCUAUCUCAAUA